AUGGCGGAUCAAGAAGCUGAAUUUGGAGCGCUGGAGCGCAUAAUGGGUGAUGAAAGUGCAGAGCCGACCAGGCUACCAUAUUCACUCAUAAAGUCCAUUACCGGCGAUUUCUCCCGAGAAAUUGGUCGUGGUGGGUUUGGAGUUGUUUACCUGGGAGACCUUCCAAGUGGCAAGGUUGCUGUCAAGAAGCUUUCCAUAUCGCAAGAUUUUUCGGAUCAGUUAUUUCAGGAUGAGGUCCACUGUCUAAUGAGGGUAAAGCACAACAAUAUAGUGAGAUUCCUCGGCUAUUGUUCAGAUACACAAGGGGAACUGAUGGAACACGACGGAAAAAAAGUUAUGGCAGAGGUACGGCAAAGGUUGCUCGUCUUUGACUACGCUCCUAACGGAAGCCUUCAGCUUUAUCUUACAGAGGAAACAAUUGAAUGGACAAGGCGAUAUCAAAUGAUCAAGGGAAUCUGCCAUGGUUUGCAAUAUCUACACAAAGAACGCAUUAAUCAUCUGGACCUCAAACCUGAAAAUGUUCUGCUGGAUGCUUACAUGGAACCCAAAAUUACCGACUUUGGCUUGUCAAGAUGGUUUCAUGAAGGACAGUCCAGAAUUUUCACAAAAAGCACUCCUGGCACAAGGGGAUAUAUUGCACCAGAAAUCAUAGACAAGGGUGAAAUAUCAUUCAAGUCAGACAUAUUCAGUUUCGGCAUUGUAUUCAUAAAGCUGUUAACAGGGAGUGACAACUACGAUUUUGAAAAUUGGCAUAAAUCAAUAGACGUGAAGAGCCCUCAAAUGGAGUGCUGCAUUGAGAUAGCUCGAAAAUGUGUGGACACUGAUCAACACAAAAGACCUUCAAUAGACGAGAUAAUUCAUAAGCUGAAUGAGAUGGGCAGUGCUGAAGAAUCAAGAGAUGACCCAGGGUCUUCAAUACAGCAGGUAUGA
rnacentral:rRNA from 1 species